AUGGCUUCCUCCUCGCUGCUGCCACUGCUUCUCGUGCUCCUGCUGGCCUCGUCGUGGGCGGCCGUAGCACGCGCACGGCCCGGCGACAACGUUUGGGAGCACACAGUCGUGUACAUGCACGAGAGGCUGACGGGCCCGAACGCCACGCGGCUUAUUACGGUGCAGUCCCCGCUCGGCGGCGACAACUUUGGGCAGUUCGGCGUGGUAGACAACGAGCUGCGAGACGGCCCGGACCCUCUCCGCUCGUCGCUCUGCGGCCGGUUCCAGGCCCUGUUUGCGCUGGCGGGUCUGGUGAGCCCACCGGGCAUGCAGUCGGCCGUCAACUUCUUGUUCACGGCGGGGAGGUUACGCGGGAGCACGGUGUCUGUGCUGGGCCCCAUUCUGGACUUCGAGAGCACCUGCGAGCGCAGCAUCGUGGGCGGCACGGGCGUGUUUCGAAUGGCGCGCGGAUACAGCUUCAUGAGGCUUGUGCCUGAGAUGAGCGUACCCGAUAAGUACAGCGUCUACAGGCUCGACCUCUUCAUUCAAGUCAACUCGGACCGUCUGCCACUACUGCCGCCGGUUGAUUCCGUUGGCUGUUACGACAUUUCAAUCUGA
rnacentral:rRNA from 1 species